CCAAUAGGGUAUAUUAAAGUUGUUGCAGUUAAAAAGCUCGUAGUUGAAUUUCGGGGUUCUACCGUUGGUCGGGCAAUAGUCUGUACUGGCGUGUGGAAUUUCUACCUUCUGGGGAACUAUCAUGUUAUUUAUUUAGCGUGGUGGGAAACCAGGACCUUUACCUUGAAAAAAUUAGAGUGUUCAAAGCAGGCUUACGUCUGAAUACAUUAGCAUGGAAUAAUAAAAUAGGACGGUGGUCCUGUUUUGUUGGUUUCUGAAUCACCGUAAUGAUUAAUAGGGAUAGUUGGGGGCAUUAGUAUUCAAUUGUCAGAGGUGAAAUUCUUGGAUUUAUUGAAGACUAACUUCUGCGAAAGCAUUUGCCAAGGAUGUUUUCAUUAAUCAAGAACGAAAGUUAGGGGAUCGAAGACGAUCAGAUACCGUCGUAGUCUUAACCAUAAACUAUGCCGACUAGGGAUCGGACGAUGUUAAUUUUUCUUGACUCGUUCGGCGCCUUACG
rnacentral:rRNA from 1 species